GCUGAAGGCUAUUAAUAUCCAGGCUAUAAUAAAUAAUGAGAUCCCUGACUGUUACACCUUCAUUGUGAUGACAGGCCUGGAUAACAAGGCUCACAGUGGCAAAGUCGAGAUCAGCCUGGAAAACCAGGUCACCGUGUCAUCUAUCUACAGUGACCAGAACCCACAAUAGUGGACACGGUUGGCCAGAGAUUCAUUUCUCCACCUCGUCACCCUCUAACAGCUCUUGAGAUUCUGAUCAUCACCCUGCGCACUGCAUUCCCCAAUGUGAUCCGGUUCUGCUGCUGUCCAGGGUCCAUACCAUGUCAAAUUCCACUCCCUGCCCAUGGUGUCCGAAUGCUUGUUCUCCUUAAUCAAUGGUGACGACAUACCCAGGAGACCACACAUCUGUGAGCUACACGCAUUUAUUUCACAGUGCACCAAAACGCCCACCUCCGGAAAGUUCCGGAAAGGCCCAGAGAGCUCGUCCUGUUCUUUCUUCUGCAGCAUCAACAGGUGAGGGAGAUAAACAGGUGAGCGAGAUGAACAGAUGAGGGAGACAGAUGGGUGAGGGAGGCAGACGGGUGAGGGAGACGGGUUAGAGAGACAGAUGGGUGAGACAGGCAGACAGGUUAGAGAAGCAAACGGGUGAGAGAAGCAGACGAGUGAGGGAGAUAGACGGGUGAGGAAACAGGUGAUGGAGACAAACAGGUGAGGAAGACAGAUUGGUGAGAGACAAACAGAUGAGGGAGACAGACGUGUGAGAGACAGACGUGUGAGGGAAAUGGACAGAUGGACAGAGACUUUGAAAAAGUCUGACAUUACAGAAUCUUUUCA